rnacentral:rRNA from 1 species
AGUGAACGCUGGCGGCAGGCCUAACACAUGCAAGUCGAGCGGCAGCGCGGGGCAACCUGGCGGCGAGCGGCAGACGGGUGAGUAACGCGUGGGAACAUACCCUUUGGUUCGGAAUAACUCAGGGAAACUUGAGCUAAUACCGGAUACGUCCGUAAGGAGAAAGAUUUAUCGCCAAAGGAUUGGCCCGCGUCCGAUUAGCUAGUUGGUGAGGUAAGGGCUCACCAAGGCUACGAUCGGUAGCUGGUCUGAGAGGAUGAUCAGCCACAUUGGGACUGAGACACGGCCCAAACUCCUACGGGAGGCAGCAGUGGGGAAUAUUGGACAAUGGGGGCAACCCUGAUCCAGCAAUGCCGCGUGAGUGAAGAAGGCCUU